UACGGAGGUGGCUAGCGUUAUUCGGAAUUAUUGGGCGUAAAGCGUCCGUAGGUGGUUGGCCAAGUCUGCUGUCAACGGGUGGGGCUUAACCUAAUAAAGGCAGUGGAAACUGGCUAGCUAGAGUGCGGUAGGGGUAGGGGGAAUUCCCAGUGUAGCGGUGAAAUGCGUAGAGAUUGGGAAGAACAUCGGUGGCGAAAGCGCCCUGCUGGGCCUGUACUGACACUGAGGGACGAAAGCUAGGGGAGCGAAAGGG
rnacentral:rRNA from 1 species